rnacentral:lncRNA from 10 species
CUCUGAGAAAUACGUGGUUAGGCGAUUUCGUCCUGCUAACAUCAUAGAGUGUACCUUCCCAAACCAAGGUGGUUCAGCCUACUACACACCUAGCUAUAUGGUAGAGCCUAUUGCUUCUAGGCUACAGACCUGUACAGCAUGUUACCCUGCUGAAUACUGUUGGCAAUUGGAAAACAAUAGUAAGAAUUUGUGUGUCUAAACAUAGAAAAGGUACAGUAAAAAUACCGUAUUAUAAUCUUAUGGAACCAUCGUCAUACACAGAAUCUGUCGUUGACCCCAACAUCAGUGAGCAGUGCAUGACUGUACAUAUUUUUAAAAUGAGUGGAGAGGCAGAUGGUGGUGAUGUGUGUUUCUUCCACUGCCACCCUAUUACAGAUGUUUUCUGUCCCUGAUGAGACACAAGGUGAGGAGCUUCUCUCUGCUGGCAGAGCACUGCCCAAAUGAAGAACUUUCUCACCUCUUUCAGUAUUGUGUAGUUUCAAUCCUCACUCUUUCCCUUACUGCACCGUUAGGAAGUCCAAAUGGGUUUGAAGAAAGAAAAAUGAAGAAAAUAAAUUAAAUUAUGACAUUGAAAAAAAAGCACAAAUGCAUAAAGGCAAGAACACAUCAGAAAAUUACCUGCGAAUGCCUUAGGAAAUGUGCACAGGUAUGGGCAAGUUAGUAUAUAAAUACAAUAACCUCUGCUUCAGGAGACUUUCUGCAGACCUCUCGUAAGUGGCAUUUAAUGAGAAUAAUUACUAAAAUAGUUAACAUUUGCAUGGCUAUACUACACAUAAUAAUAAUAAUAACUAACAUUUACAUAAUGCUGACUAUAUGCCAGGUGUUGUGUUAAGUACAUUAUAUAUAUAUUAAUGAUGUACAUAUUAUAUCAUUUAAUCCUCACAGCAACCUUAUGUGAUGGGCAUUCUCUGAUCCAGAUUUUACAGAUGAAGAGGCUGAGGUACAGAAAAGUGACACACACCCAUGGUGAUACAGACUCACAAUUACUUGUCGCAGAUCAUACAGCUACUAAAUCUGCAAUCUGCAAGAUGAUCUCCUGGAGAGAUUUGGUUCCAACUUGUGCCAUCUCUGGCCCCUCUGCUGAAGUUUCCAAUAAUAUGGAAAUGCCUGUUGAGGAAACAGGGAGCAGCACAGGUCUUCUAAAUUCCACCAGUACAUCUGCUUUUGGCUCACUCUCAACCAAGUAA